GAUGAACGCUGGAGGAGUGCAUAAUACAUGCAAGUCGAGCGAACAAAAGAGGAGAUUGAUAAUCAGACGUUAGCGGAGGAAGAGUAAGUAACACGUGAAUCAACUAACACUAAGACUGGGAUAACUUCGGGAAACCGGAGCUAAUACCGGAUAAUAUAUUGAACCGCAUGGUUCAAUAGUGAAAGACGGUUUUGCUGUCACUUAUAGAUGGAUCCGCGCCGCAUUAGCUAGUUGGUAAGGUAACGGCUUACCAAGGCGACGAUGCGUAGCCGACCUGAGAGGGUGAUCGGCCACACUGGAACUGAGACACGGUCCAGACUCCUACGGGAGGCAGCAGUAGGGAAUCUUCCGCAAUGUGCGAAAGCCUGACGGAGCAACGCCGCGUGAGUGAUGAAGGUCUUCGGAUCUUAAAACUCUGUUAUUAGGGAUGAACAAAUGUGUAAGUAACUAUGCACGUCUUGACGGUACCUAAUCAGAAAGCCACGGCUAACUACGUG
rnacentral:rRNA from 1 species